GGACAAGUGAAGCUAGUGCUGGAGAGCUUUUUCUUCAAGUGCAUAUUCAUUUAUAUGCCAAGGUUAAUUUGAUUCAUAGAUUAGGUAGAUAUAGUGGAAUAGAAAGGGUAACCUAGUUUAACCAAUAUUCAUCUAGCCUAAAAUUACAAUUCACAUUGUGGAAAUUAGUACGGAGGAGAAACUGUAAAAUUUUAAAGCUGAUCCAACUUAAACGGCGUUUACAAACGGGUCUGCUAGAGAAAACAGUUUGAACAGAAUAUCUUGUUGAUUUUCUCAUGGGCGAAAUUGUAACCAUGUCUAUCGUGUUUCGAUUCACCAGCC